rnacentral:rRNA from 1 species
UACAGAGGGUGCAAGCGUUAAUCGGAAUUACUGGCGUAAAGCGCGCGCAGGCGGUCUUCCAAGUCAGUGGUGAAAGCCCGGAGCUCAACUCCGGGACUGCCAUUGAAACUGUAAGACUUGAGGAUGAGAGAGGUGAGUGGAAUUCCCAGUGUAGAGGUGAAAUUCGUAGAUAUUGGGAAGAACACCGGUGGCGAAGGCGGCUCACUGGCUCAUAUCUGACGCUCAGGCGCGACAGCGUGGGGAUCAAACAGG